CGGGACGGGUGAGUAAUGUCUGGGAAACUGCCUGAUGGAGGGGGGUAACUACUGGAAACGGUAGCUAAUACCGCAUAACGUCGCAAGACCAAAGAGGGGGACCUUCGGGCCUCUUGCCAUCGGAUGUGCCCAGAUGGGAUUAGCUAGUAGGUGGGGUAACGGCUCACCUAGGCGACGAUCCCUAGCUGGUCUGAGAGGAUGCCAGCCACACUGGAACUGAGACACGGUCCAG
rnacentral:rRNA from 1 species